rnacentral:lncRNA from 10 species
GCAGGAUAGAACAUUCACACGGGGAGCAGACAGGACUUGGGGGUGUCUGCAUUGAUAUGAGGACUGAGCAAGAGAUGAGAGUCAAGGACAGGGAGAGGAAAGUUAAAAACAGAAAAAGGCAUUUCACAGAAAAAGUGGUUAGCAGUGCCAAAUGCUGGGCAGUAAUCAAAGAUGAUAAGGGCUGAGAUGUGUCUGUGUAAGAUUUUGUCACAAGGAAGUACAGAGGCUCAGGGCAGAGAGGGGAAGCCAGACUUCAGCGGGCUGACAGAAGAGUGGCAGUGAGGAAGUGGAUGCAUUUUUAUUCCUGGAACCAGACCUCUCAGACUCGGCUUCCCCAGGAACGUCCUUCUGACAUCACUGCUAGUGCGGACUCUUGCGGGGCCUCCUUCCUCCCCCCGCCCACCUUUCCUGCACACCUGCAGCAAUAACCUCUCUAGAGUGGGACUGCGGCUGUGUCACCCCUCCGCCAUGCAGCUGCCCCAUUUGCAGCUUCCAAUACCUAGAAAUAAAUCUCUCAUUUCUUCUUACUUUUGGGGUCUGUUUAAAUGCCACUGAUUCUGGAAAGCCCUUUCUAACCAUCCCCCAGACUAGGGAAAGUCCCCUUGGUACCUGCCCCCAUGGUGCCUUAUACAUCUCUGUGAGACACUCGUGAACCUGUAAUUACUUAUUCUACAAUGGCCAGUAGCCAGGACAAUGGCCUGGGGUGGGGGUGGGGGCCCUAAGGCUUCCUUGUCCCCUCUGUCUUCCUGGAGCCGAGAACAGUGCCUAGCACAAAUAGGCACUCAAUAAAAGGCGUUGAUAGACUGACUAUAGAAAGGUUCAAGCCUGCCUUAGGUUGGCAGCUUAAAUUUCCAACAUCCCCAAUCAGCCCAUGCUCAGGACAUCCAGGCCUCCUGCACAGCCCCCAAAGCCAACCCAUGUUCUCUUCCCCUUGUGUUAGAUUGUUCCCUUGGCCAGGCACGCUUGCUCUCUUCUUUAUCCAUUUUUUUUUUUUUUUUUUUUUUUGAGGCAGGGUCUCACUUUGCUGUCCAGGCUGGAAUGCAGUGGCAUUAUCACAAUUCACUGCAGCCUCCACCUCCUGGGCUCAAGCGGUCCUCCCACCUCAGCCUCCUGAGUAGCUGGGAUCACAGGUGUAUGCAACCAUGCCCAGCUAAUUUUUUAAGUUUUUAUAGAGACGAGGUCUUGUCGUGUUACCCAGGCUGGUCUUGAACUCCUGGCCUCAAGUGAUCCACCUGCCUUGGGCCUCCUGAAGUGCUGGGAUUACAGGUGUGAGCCACCGUGCCCGGCUCCACUCCAUCUUACCCAUAGCCAUCCCACUUUCAGGCUCCAAUUUAGGAUCCUCUCCUCCAUGGAAUUGUCUCUGAAAUCCCCCCACCUGCCACAGGCCAAAAUGUCUGUGCUCCUUCUCCUUCCACUCCAACCAGAUUGCAACCUCCUUGAGGGCAGCUUCUAGUUUUUAGUUCAUUGCUAUUUCCAGUGAAAACAUUUGGCUGUGAAAUAAAGAGACACCUCAUUUCUAACACUGGCAUCAACAGUGUCUUAUAGAACUGUGUCCCAAGAGUGCCUUUGGCGGUGUCAUGCACUUAGUAGGAACACAAAAAUAUUUUUUAAUGAAUAUUUUCUCCCUCAUCCCUGUAAGAAUAUAAUGGUGACAGUCUCCAACUGCACACUAAUUUUUUUAAAUGCGGUUCUCUUAUGUUUAAAACACAAGGUGUCUGUUUUUAUCAGUGAAUGUAGUCUGUCUUUUCAGAUUUAUUCCAUCUUUGAGAAACAAAUGCAUGCCAUUUGCACUGGAUCAAGGUAGUAACUGUACUUGCCAGUGGAACAGACACACCACUGUGUAAGAAAAAAGGAAUUUCUGGCCGGGUGCAGUAGCUAACCCCUGUAAUCCCAGCACUUUGGGAGGCCGAGGCAGGUGGAUCACUACAGAUCAGGAGUUCGAGACCAGCCUGGCCAACAUGGUGAAACCCCAUCUUUACUAAAAAUACAAAAAUUAGCUGGGCUUGGUGGUGCAUGCCUGUAGUCCCAGCUACUUGGGAGGCUGAGGCAGAAGAAUCACAUGAACCCGGGAGGCAGAGGUUGCAGUGAGCCAAGAUUGUGCCGCUGCACUCUACCCAAACAAUAGAGCGAGACUCCAUCUCAAAAAUAAAUAAAAUAAAAAGAAAAAAAAAAAGAGAGAAUUUCUAAUGGAGUUGAGAUUUUCCAACACAUCCAGCAACAUUUGUCUCUUGGGUUACUGAAUGAGACCAUUUAUAUAAAGGCACAUGAAAAGGUUACGAAGUAUGGAAAUAAAGGGGAAACAGUACCACUAGUCUCUAUUAGUUUAUUUUCUGUGCUAAUGUUUCAUGAUUCUUUUUUAGUUCAGAAAAUAGAGUCACUGGGAUUCUCAGAAAUACUACCUAAAUAUAAAUCCAUAGAGACAGAAAGCAGAUUGGUGGUUGUCAGGGGUUGGGGAGGGAGGACUGGGGAGUAGUAGCUUAAUGGGUUUGGGGUUUUCUUUCUGGGUGAUGAAAAUAUUUUGCAACUAGACAGAGGUGGUAGUUGUAUUAUACAACAUCGUGAAGGUAAUAAAUGCCACUGAAUUGUUCACUCUAAAAUGGUUCAUUUUCUUCUAUAUGAAUUCCACCACAAAACAAAGAUAUGUCACCUAUAUAAUACUGAAUAGUUUCCAAAGGUCCUGAGGGACAAGGCAGCGUUAUGCUCUGAAAUAGCAGCAGAUCUGAAGGCCCCACAGCAGCCUGUACUUUGCCUUUGGAGAAAGAAGGGGGGUCCCCCGUGUCUAACCAGGGCCCUGUCCUCACAGUGCCCUCAGAGACAUUCAGCCGAAUGCCACUGCAGUCCAGGCCACUGCGGAGUGUUUGUGUUUUGGUUUGUUUUCCCCUUGGGCUUACAGAAGGACUUGUGAAGGUGUUUAGUUUGGUUAAGGACUUCCCACUUCCAGAGGUGGAGCCUGAAGAAGGUUCUAUUUUUUUUCUUCAAGUGAGUGGAACUUUCCAGGGACAACAACUCACAGGCUAUGGAUAGACUACGGAUGCACUUCACUGUGGCCUCUACUCAUGAGGGGCCUAAUGGACGAGGAGGAGGAGGAUCUGCCCAAUGGGCAGUCAUGGGGUAUAGUCCCCUCUCCACUCCAGGAAGGUUUGGCAAAGGCAGAAGCUGACUGCAAAGACUGGAUGGGUUGGGUGCAAUGGCUCACGCCUAUAAUCCCAGCAUUUUGGGAGGCCGAGACGAGUGGAUCACCUGAGGUCAGGAGUUCGAGACCAGCCUGGACAACAUGACGAAACUCCGUCUCUACUAAAAAUACAAAAAAUUAGCUGGGCGUGGUGGUGGGCGCCUGUAAUCCCAGCUACUUGGGAGGCUGAGGCAGGAGAAUAGCUUGAACCCGGGAGGCAGAGGUUGCAAUAAGCCAAGAUCACACCACGGCACGCUAGCCUAGGCAACAAGAGCAAAACUCUGUCUCAAAAAAAAAAACCCGAAAAAACAAAAAAAACAAAGAAGACUGGAUGGACUUGUCCUAACAGCUCACAGUGUCUCAGGAAACAGUCCUUUAGUUGUCUCAUCAGGUGUAAGAACAGCAUCCUAGACCAGGUACACAGUUGGCCCUGAAGGCCAUCAGACCUGUGUGAGGGCCUGGCAGGGCCCUGUGGCCAGCAGGGGCUGAGCUACCCAUGUACAAGUAUCCCAUUCACCCUUUAAACACACAGGCCAAAAGGAAAAUCGCACUCUUCAUUUCAAACAUGGCACUGGAGUCCAGCAAAAGGGGAUGGUCCCAGGGAUCCCUCACCAAGACAGCUUUCCUGGGGAAGCAGAUUGUGCUUAAUCCUCAAAACUGCAAAUUUGUUGGAAAUGUCAUCAAGAGUUAACCAUUACCCCAGGUCACUGAACUGGUUUGGGCCGAGGCAGCCUAGAAUGACAGGUGACUGCAACAUUCCCCCAACAGACCGUCUUAGGUUGAGAACCCAGUAGAGGUCGCCCCUUACUUUUUUUCUCCAUAAGAAACUGAAAAACUGUCUGGAUGCUUUGAAAGCAUUUACAGCUGCUCAGAGAAGCUUCUGACUCCAUCUAAUAAGCCCCUGGCAGCCAUCAACCUCUCUAAUUGCCCUAUAGGUGAAGAGGUGGGAAUUUAAAUAAACAGUGGAUUUUGAAGAUGAACAAUGUUAUGGAAGGGCCUAGGCAUGACAGCCAAGCAUCAAAGCAUGAGCACAUGUGUCUCUCUUGACAACAUAAUCCCCAAAGCUCAGAGAAGCUGGAUGUGGACCUCCCGAGCAUCUGCCUCCUUGGCAUUUAUACCACAAGGAAACAUACCAGUUACUCAAGAAAGUACAGGUAGCACUGAAACCCUCCAGAUUCCUUCUGGUUCCUUGUCUACUCAGGCAGAAGAGGUCAUUACAAGGCCCAAUGCUACGACUCUGAGUGGCCCUGUUCCCUAAUGCCCCUGGCUCACAUAAAAGGAAAACGAGGCCAUGUGCGGUGGCUCACGCCUGUAAACCCAGCACUUUGGGAGGCUGAGUCGGGUGGAUCACUUCAGGUCAGGAGUUCGAGACCAGCCUGGCCAACAUGGGGAAACCCCGUCUCUACUAAAAUUACAAAAGUUACCCAGGUGUAGUGGUGCACAUCUGUAAUCCCAGCUACUUGGGAGGCUGAGGCAGGAGAAUCAGUUGAACCCAAGUGGCAGAGGUUGCAGUGAGCCAAGAUCAUGCCACAGCACUCCAGCCUGGGCAACAGAGUGAAACUCCAUCUCAAAAAAAAAAAAAAAAAAAAAAGGAAAAGGAAGGCAUAUUGUUAUUCUUCUUAAGUAGGUACUCUUCUAUAUUAUAUAUUAUAUAUAAAAUAAAAAAGGAAAAGGAAGGCAUAUUGUUAUCCCUCCUGUUUACUUAUAUAUUUUACAUAUAUAAUAUAAUAUUAUCAUGACCCUGCUCCUUUACUGAUGAGGAAACUAAGGGUCAGAGAGGUUAAAUGGCUCUCUCCAAACCUCAAUAGCCAGUGAGUAUUGGGGGCAGGCCUAGGAUUUAGGGUCCCUGUGACUCCCAGCUCAGUGCUCUUGGUGUCUCCAGAGAAUGAGGCCUAUACACUGAGCUUGUCUAAAGCAUGUGGGAGGCCAGGCAUGGUGGCUGAUGCCUGUGAUCCCAGCACUUUGAGAGACUGAGGCAGGAGGACUGCUUGAGUCCAGGAGUUCAAGAAGCGCCUGGGCAACAUGGUGAAACCCUAUCUCGACAAAAAAUACAAAAAUUAGCCAGGCAUGGUGGCAGAUGCCUGUAGUCCCAGUUACUUGGAAGGCUGAGGUGGGAGGAUCACCUGAGCCGGAGAGGUCAAGGCUGCAGUGAGCCAUGGCUGUGCCACUGCAUGCCACCCUGGGUGAUAGAAUGAAAUCUUAUCUCAAAAUAAAAUAAAAUAAUAAAGCAUAUUGGAGCAAGUGGUAUAAUUUCUAGGGCUAAGUCUCAGCCAGCUGCCAGCCACCAUGGGCCUUAACUCAUGACAGGGUUUCGUCCCUAUCAUUCGCACUACAAGGAAAGAGUACCCCAGAGCAGAUGUUCCCCAAUCACCCUGGGAUUCCUGGUCUACAGGAUAAUGGGGGCCUGAGAUGACACUUUUAAGUGCUCAACACCUAACAGCCUGUGACUUUUCAAAAACAGAAGUCUAGAGAUGUGAUCACCCAACAUAUUUGCACGGUUUUCUGAGCCCUUUCCUGCUCGUGAUCUCAUCCAACCACCCUGACAACCUUAGCCAUACAUUUAAUUGGUUCUUUGAAGAUUUCUGGGUUUCCAGAGUCAACCUGUUCAAACAAAAUACCCCAAGGAAGGGAUAGCACCUUAUACUUUUAUUGGCUCACAGCUUGGCAAGAGUUGGCAGCUGGCUGAGAAUUAGGCCCUGAGAAGGAAACAGGAUCAGGAGGGAUUGGGAAGGGGUCAAAAGGGAAAAGAAGAAUGAGACGGGGCGGUAGACAUGCCCCGAUGCCCUCCCAGAAGCCCACCUCACAGCUUUGCAGAAAGAGGUUCUAAGCAAGCAGAAGGAAGUUCCCAGCUCCCCCAGCCCCCCUGCCACCCCACCAGCAGAAAAACCAACUUUACCCAUGAGGGCCAAAGGUAGAGAGGAAUAGAAGAAAAAGAGAAGAAAAAGGAGAGAUGGGAAGACAGAAUAAACCAACCAUCAGAGGCUCUUCAAUCUUAAUUCAUUUUAUUCUACAAAAUGCUACUCAACUGAAAGUGGAA